rnacentral:rRNA from 1 species
CAAAACUCAAAAAAAUAAGUCUCAGUUCGGAUUGAAGGCUGAAAUUCGCCUUCAUGAAGCCGGAAUUGCUAGUAAUGGCAGGUCAGCAUACUGCCGUGAAUACGUUCCCGGGCCUUGUACACACCGCCCGUCACACCAUGAGAGUUGGGAAUACCCGAAGCCUGUGAGCUAACUUUUAGAGGCAGCAGUCGAAGGUAGAAUCAAUGAUUGGGGUGAAGUCGUAACAAGGUACC